CGGACCUGCCGUCGAGGCAGUUCACCACUGCGUUCACCACUCAUUCAGUCCUUACGAAAACCUUGAGAGGAGGCACUUCUCCCCGAGACACAGGGAGAGGAACUGAGGCUAGGAGAGCUUCUGUCAUUCCUGUAAGGCCAUUGUAUUGGUUACUAAGUGACUCCUUUCUGUUUCAAAACCAGUCUUUGCUGUGAUGCUGAGGCUGGGACUCUGCAGACCACAUUUCUGCUCCGUCACUGGCUCUUGUUUGGCGUGCCUGCAGGAGACCAUCGGCUGGGCAAGGGAGAACGGAGCGCUGCUCCUGUUUGCUUCCUGGUAAGGUAACCAUCUAGAGGUGAGCUAUCCAGGUCAUUGCCUUCAAGAGACUCACCUCCCAGGGAAGAGACAAUGAGCCAAAAAAUAAGCAACGAAACCACAGAUACAUAAAGGAUGACAGAAGUCCAUCAGAAAGCAGCUUCCUGCCUAGGCUGUGAGCGAUCCAGGUCCAAGGAAACCCAGAGGAGUUCUCAGACAUGUAUUGGCAAAAAUACUAAAAGGCUGAAGAUGAAAUUAAUUAGAAGGCUAGACAAAGGAAAAGAAGAGGAGACUCCAACAAGACGAUCAAAGAUAAAGUAAACCGUAAACAGAAUCAUUCUGGGCAGUGCUGUUUGGAGACCACCUCUAGAAUACAGUUACGAACCUGCAGAAAAGCCUUCUGGAAGAGGCCAGCUCUCUGUCACUUAGGACAGUUGGGUCACUAGGACUUGCUAGCAGUGCUUAUCUGCUGCUCUGGCUGCAGAGCGAGGGAGAGAUAUCUGCCCAUACCCACCUCCGUCGGGUAGUCAUUAGAAUAAGAGACUCCCAGCAAGAGAGGAACCCGGUCGGUACAUGCCAUCAGAACCACCUCCGGAUUCAAGGCUCCUGCGCCAGUUGCAAAUUAAAUCUUUUAUUGUAAACAUCUCUGUAAAUAAAUCAACAGACAAAUGCUGGUCCUGAGAACA
rnacentral:lncRNA from 1 species